rnacentral:rRNA from 1 species
CAGGCGCCGCGGUAAUACAGAGGGUGCGAGCGUUAAUCGGAUUUACUGGGCGUAAAGCGUGCGUAGGCGGCUUCUUAAGUCGGAUGUGAAAUCCCUGAGCUUAACUUAGGAAUUGCAUUCGAUACUGGGAAGCUAGAGUAUGGGAGAGGAUGGUAGAAUUCCAGGUGUAGCGGUGAAAUGCGUAGAGAUCUGGAGGAAUACCGAUGGCGAAGGCAGCCAUCUGGCCUAAUACUGACGCUGAGGUACGAAAGCAUGGGGAGCAAACAGGAUUAGAUACCCCUGUAGUCCCUGUCUCUUAUAC